GUUAGUUGUAUCUCUGCAAGACUUCGGAGUAUGCCUUUCGUCACAAAGAGCAGGUUUGCUCAAGUCCAUUAAGCAGUGAAAUGUGGCUGUGACAGCUGUGAUGAAACAUCAAUUUCUUUGCCCACAGAGCCAGGAAGAGCCAAGGCACCAUGAAAAGCCAGUGUUCCCAGGGCUUUCAGAAAUCCUUCAAAUGUCCACUUUUUGCAGCAUGAAG
rnacentral:lncRNA from 1 species